rnacentral:misc_RNA from 1 species
GAUGAACAGAACAGAUAAUUAAUACUUCUAUAUGAACUGACAAUUAAUAGUUAAAGUGAUAGUAUUGAUAAAGAUCAAUGUUAUGAUCCAUUACCAACGUUCAUUAAUAAAGCAGACCACCCAUAUAUUUAAAGGAAAACCGCGCAACACCCUUUGUGAUUCUUGCAUCUUUGAAGGCAUCAAUCCAAUCUUCUAAUUUUGCAAAUCAGAUUCAAGAUCAACUAUAGAUCUAAGGAAUAGGAAGAAUCAGCAGCAGCAAAAGAAUCACCAUUGUUGCUGCUGCCAUCACCCAUGCUGCUUUGCACAAAACUCGGAUGUGCAGCUCCAUCCAGAAACCCUUGAACCAGUACAUCCACCACACCAGUUGUACCAUUAUUCCUCUG